UACGUAGGGGGCAAGGCGUUGUCCGGAUUUAUUGGGCGUAAAGCGCUCGCAGGCGGCUCGAUGCGUCGUGCGUGAAACACCCCGGCUCAACUGGGGAGGGUCGUGCGAUACGGUCGGGCUGGAGGCCAGUAGGGGGAUGCGGAAUUCCGGGUGUAGUGGUGGAAUGCGUAGAGAUCCGGAGGAACACCAGCGGCGAAGGCGAUCACCUGGGGUUGUUCUGACGCUGAGGAGCGAAAGCUAGGGGAGCAAACGGG
rnacentral:rRNA from 1 species